rfam:Acinetobacter sp. RIFCSPHIGHO2_12_41_5 rifcsphigho2_12_sub10_scaffold_10385, whole genome shotgun sequence.
GAAAGCCGUAUUCGGGAAAACUGAACGUACGGUUUGAUGAGGGGGAGUUGGAAAUAGAGCAUGGUUAGGCUCGUGAGGCACUGUCAGACGAAAGGGACAGAAACAGAUAGGCCAAACCUAAACCACUACGCCAGUUCCCUACUCUAC